ACGGAGGGUGCGAGCGUUGUCCGGAAUCACUGGGCGUAAAGGGCGCGUAGGCGGCUUGGCAAGUGGAUGGUGAAAUCCCUCGGCUUAACCGAGGAACUGCCAUCCAGACUGCUUUGCUUGAGGCCGGGAGAGGUGAGUGGAAUUCCCAGUGUAGCGGUGAAAUGCGUAGAUAUUGAGAGGAACACCAGUGGCGAAGGCGGCUCACUGGACCGGUUCUGACGCUGAGGCGCGAAAGCGUGGGGAGCAAACGGGA
rnacentral:rRNA from 1 species